UUGAUCCCGGCUCAGAGCGAACGCUGGCGGCAGGCUUAACACAUGCAAGUCGAACGGGCACUUCGGUGCUAGUGGCAGACGGGUGAGUAACACGUGGGAACGUACCUUUCGGUUCGGAAUAAUUCAGGGAAACUUGGACUAAUACCGGAUAAGCCCUUCGGGGGAAAGAUUUAUCGCCGAUAGAUCGGCCCGCGUCUGAUUAGCUAGUUGGUGAGGUAACGGCUCACCAAGGCGACGAUCAGUAGCUGGUCUGAGAGGAUGAUCAGCCACAUUGGGACUGAGACACGGCCCAAACUCCUACGGGAGGCAGCAGUGGGGAAUAUUGGACAAUGGGCGCAAGCCUGAUCCAGCCAUGCCGCGUGAGUGAUGAAGGCCUUAGGGUUGUAAAGCUCUUUUGUCCGGGAAGAUAAUGACUGUACCGGAAGAAUAAGCCCCCGGCUA
rnacentral:rRNA from 1 species